rnacentral:rRNA from 1 species
AUGUUCAGGCAUACCAGUUUUGCUCUGUUAGGAUGUUCAGUGGUGACUGUAAAUGAUUAUUUGGCACAGCGAGAUGCUGAAUGGAUGGGCCGCGUUCAUUGUUUUCUUGGCCUAACUGUCGGUCUAAUUGAGGCGGGUAUGAAGUCUGAUGAGAGGAGAGCCAACUAUAUGUGUGACAUUGGGUACACUAAUAACUCAGUAAGAUGCUUAGUAGAACAACUACUUUUAGAUAGUUCUAUAGUGGCUAUUCUUCUGAGGACCUUUCUUCUUCUUGCAACUUGGUAUUAUAUGUUAAAGUUGUCUUCAUUUCAGAUUAGAAGUAAUAAUAAAAUAAGUUGUGUUUGA